UGCUGAGCUCCGGACCAAUCAAGGAUACGCCGGUGAGGGACCGCCCACUGCCCGUUAGCCCGGGAUCGUGAAAACGGCGGUGGAGGUAAUGGGCUUGAAGGUGUUUGCAAAUACCAUAAAUUGAUCGCCGAAGAAGAAGCAGACAAACGAUGACACCAACGAGGGAAAGAAAGGUUUAAGCGUUGCUGAAGAUGGUGGUGAGGAACGUAUAGUUUAUAAGAUGUCGCCUUAUAGUCCCGGUUUGCAGUGAAACUAUACUUAAGUCCAAGAAAGGAAUAAGCAAGGAAAAUGUUUGUGAUCAAAGCGCAACGUGACUUUACAGAUGUCCGGACCCCCGAACUACUCAUCAGGGAAGAGCUUCCAUCCUGAAACACACUCACCAUGUGGUAGAGCAUGAGUUGAAAUAUCUGUGGAGAAGUGCUGUAACACAUGCUCAGUCAUGCUGCAAUGCUGACCUCCAGGUGGUGACGAACGGCCUGUGGACGAGCAACCAGUGACCAUUUCAGGAGCAGGACUGAGAAAAAUUUGUCAACUCACUCCCUACCCUCUGUCAUGGUCGGUAAUGGAAAAACGCAUCUUGUGCCAGAAGCCCAUACUCAGCACCCUCAGAUGAUUGAUGCUGUGGGUGUGAAUGUACCUCACUGUUCUGUUAUAAUAAACUUG